UUGCGUACAACAUCAACCUCCUGUGCACAAAGGAGCUGGCGCAUCGGAUUGCUCUCAACAUCCGGGAGCAGGGCCGCGCGAAGGACCAGCCUGGGCGUUUGAAGAAGGUCCAAGGCAUGGGCUGGUACUUGGAUGAGGAGAAUAUUGCCCAGGUUUCUACAAACCUGCUGGACUUUGAAAUCACCUCCCUCCACACGGUCUAUGAGGAGGUCUGCAAAGAUGCCCGGGAGCUGAGCCUGCCCGUGGUGGGCUCCCAGCUGGUGGGGCUUGUCCCCAAGAAGGCCAUGCUUGAUGCAGCGGAGUAUUACAUUCAGAAA